rnacentral:rRNA from 1 species
AGCGAACGCUGGCGGCAGGCUUAACACAUGCAAGUCGAGCGCCCCGCAAGGGGAGCGGCAGACGGGUGAGUAACACGUGGGAACGUGCCUUUUGGUUCGGAACAACCCAGGGAAACUUGGGCUAAUACCGGAUAAGCCCUUACGGGGAAAGAUUUAUCGCCAAAAGAUCGGCCCGCGUCUGAUUAGCUAGUUGGUGAGGUAAUGGCUCACCAAGGCUACGAUCAGUAGCUGGUCUGAGAGGAUGAUCAGCCACAUUGGGACUGAGACACG